GACGAACGCUGGCGGCGUGCUUAACACAUGCAAGUCGAACGGAAAGGCCCUGCUUUUGUGGGUGCUCGAGUGGCGAACGGGUGAGUAACACGUGAGUAACCUGCCCUUGACUUUGGGAUAACUUCAGGAAACUGGGGCUAAUACCGGAUAGGAGCUCCUGCUGCAUGGUGGGGGUUGGAAAGUUUCGGCGGUUGGGGAUGGACUCGCGGCUUAUCAGCUUGUUGGUGGGGUAGUGGCUUACCAAGGCUUUGACGGGUAGCCGGCCUGAGAGGGUGACCGGCCACAUUGGGACUGAGAUACGGCCCAGACUCCUACGGGAGGCAGCAGUGGGGAAUAUUGCACAAAGGGCGGAAGCCUGAUGCAGCAACGCCGCGUGCGGGAUGACGGCCUUCGGGUUGUAAACCGCUUUCGCCUGUGACGAAGCGUGAGUGACGGUAAUGGGUAAAGAAGCACCGGCUAACUACGUG
rnacentral:rRNA from 1 species